rnacentral:rRNA from 1 species
GCUUGCUCUCGGGUGACGAGUGGCGGACGGGUGAGUAAUGUCUGGGAAACUGCCUGAUGGAGGGGGAUAACUACUGGAAACGGUAGCUAAUACCGCAUAACGUCGCAAGACCAAAGAGGGGGACCUUCGGGCCUCUUGCCAUCAGAUGUGCCCAGAUGGGAUUAGCUAGUAGGUGGGGUAACGGCUCACCUAGGCGACGAUCCCUAGCUGGUCUGAGAGGAUGACCAGCCACACUGGAACUGAGACACGGUCCAGACUCCUACGGGAGGCAGCAGUGGGGAAUAUUGCACAAUGGGCGCAAGCCUGAUGCAGCCAUGCCGCGUGUAUGAAGAAGGCCUUCGGGUUGUAAAGUACUUUCAGCGGGGAGGAAGGUGUUGAGGUUAAUAACCUCGUCAAUUGACGUUACCCGCAGAAGAAGCACCGGCUAACUCCGUGCCAGCAGCCGCGGUAAUACGGAGGGUGCAAGCGUUAAUCGGAAUUACUGGGCGUAAAGCGCACGCAGGCGGUCUGUCAAGUCGGAUGUGAAAUCCCCGGGCUCAACCUGGGAACUGCAUUCGAAACUGGCAGGCUAGAGUCUUGUAGAGGGGGGUAGAAUUCCAGGUGUAGCGGUGAAAUGCGUAGAGAUCUGGAGGAAUACCGGUGGCGAAGGCGGCCCCCUGGGACAAAGACUGACGCUCAGUGCGAAAGCGUGGGGGAGCAAACAGGAUUAGAUACCCUGGGUAGUCCACGCCGUAAACGAUGUCGACUUGGAGGUUGUGCC